rnacentral:tRNA from 1 species
AUCUUUAUAGUUUAAUAAAAAUAUUAAAUUGCAAAUUUAAAGAAUUUUUUAAAAAUU